UUAAGCGACUAAGCGUACACGGUGGAUGCCCUGGCAGUCAGAGGCGAUGAAGGACGUGCUAAUCUGCGAUAAGCGUCGGUGAGGUGAUAUGAACCGUUAUAACCGGCGAUUUCCGAAUGGGGAAACCCAGUGUGUUUCGACACACUAUCAUUAACUGAAUCCAUAGGUUAAUGAGGCGAACCGGGGGAACUGAAACAUCUAAGUACCCCGAGGAAAAGAAAUCAACCGAGAUUCCCCCAGUAGCGGCGAGCGAACGGGGAGGAGCCCAGAGCCUGAAUCAGUGUGUGUGUUAGUGGAAGCGUCUGGAAAGGCGCGCGAUACAGGGUGACAGCCCCGUACACAAAAAUGCACAUGCUGUGAGCUCGAUGAGUAGGGCGGGACACGUGGUAUCCUGUCUGAAUAUGGGGGGACCAUCCUCCAAGGCUAAAUACUCCUGACUGACCGAUAGUGAACCAGUACCGUGAGGGAAAGGCGAAAAGAACCCCGGCGAGGGGAGUGAAAAAGAACCUGAAACCGUGUACGUACAAGCAGUGGGAGCCUCUUAAUGGGGUGACUGCGUACCUUUUGUAUAAUGGGUCAGCGACUUAUAUUCUGUAGCAAGGUUAACCGAAUAGGGGAGCCGAAGGGAAACCGAGUCUUAACUGGGCGUUAAGUUGCAGGGUAUAGACCCGAAACCCGGUGAUCUAGCCAUGGGCAGGUUGAAGGUUGGGUAACACUAACUGGAGGACCGAACCGACUAAUGUUGAAAAAUUAGCGGAUGACUUGUGGCUGGGGGUGAAAGGCCAAUCAAACCGGGAGAUAGCUGGUUCUCCCCGAAAGCUAUUUAGGUAGCGCCUCGUGAAUUCAUCUCCGGGGGUAGAGCACUGUUUCGGCAAGGGGGUCAUCCCGACUUACCAACCCGAUGCAAACUGCGAAUACCGGAGAAUGUUAUCACGGGAGACACACGGCGGGUGCUAACGUCCGUCGUGAAGAGGGAAACAACCCAGACCGCCAGCUAAGGUCCCAAAGUCAUGGUUAAGUGGGAAACGAUGUGGGAAGGCCCAGACAGCCAGGAUGUUGGCUUAGAAGCAGCCAUCAUUUAAAGAAAGCGUAAUAGCUCACUGGUCGAGUCGGCCUGCGCGGAAGAUGUAACGGGGCUAAACCAUGCACCGAAGCUGCGGCAGCGACGCUUAUGCGUUGUUGGGUAGGGGAGCGUUCUGUAAGCCUGUGAAGGUGGCCUGUGAGGGUUGCUGGAGGUAUCAGAAGUGCGAAUGCUGACAUAAGUAACGAUAAAGCGGGUGAAAAGCCCGCUCGCCGGAAGACCAAGGGUUCCUGUCCAACGUUAAUCGGGGCAGGGUGAGUCGACCCCUAAGGCGAGGCCGAAAGGCGUAGUCGAUGGGAAACAGGUUAAUAUUCCUGUACUUGGUGUUACUGCGAAGGGGGGACGGAGAAGGCUAUGUUGGCCGGGCGACGGUUGUCCCGGUUUAAGCGUGUAGGCUGGUUUUCCAGGCAAAUCCGGAAAACCAAGGCUGAGGCGUGAUGACGAGGCACUACGGUGCUGAAGCGACAAAUGCCCUGCUUCCAGGAAAAGCCUCUAAGCAUCAGGUAACAUCAAAUCGUACCCCAAACCGACACAGGUGGUCAGGUAGAGAAUACCAAGGCGCUUGAGAGAACUCGGGUGAAGGAACUAGGCAAAAUGGUGCCGUAACUUCGGGAGAAGGCACGCUGAUAUGUAGGUGAAGCGACUUGCUCGUGGAGCUGAAAUCAGUCGAAGAUACCAGCUGGCUGCAACUGUUUAUUAAAAACACAGCACUGUGCAAACACGAAAGUGGACGUAUACGGUGUGACGCCUGCCCGGUGCCGGAAGGUUAAUUGAUGGGGUUAGCGGUAACGCGAAGCUCUUGAUCGAAGCCCCGGUAAACGGCGGCCGUAACUAUAACGGUCCUAAGGUAGCGAAAUUCCUUGUCGGGUAAGUUCCGACCUGCACGAAUGGCGUAAUGAUGGCCAGGCUGUCUCCACCCGAGACUCAGUGAAAUUGAACUCGCUGUGAAGAUGCAGUGUACCCGCGGCAAGACGGAAAGACCCCGUGAACCUUUACUAUAGCUUGACACUGAACAUUGAGCCUUGAUGUGUAGGAUAGGUGGGAGGCUUUGAAGUGUGGACGCCAGUCUGCAUGGAGCCGACCUUGAAAUACCACCCUUUAAUGUUUGAUGUUCUAACGUUGGCCCCUAAUCGGGGUUGCGGACAGUGUCUGGUGGGUAGUUUGACUGGGGCGGUCUCCUCCUAAAGAGUAACGGAGGAGCACGAAGGUUGGCUAAUCCUGGUCGGACAUCAGGAGGUUAGUGCAAUGGCAUAAGCCAGCUUGACUGCGAGCGUGACGGCGCGAGCAGGUGCGAAAGCAGGUCAUAGUGAUCCGGUGGUUCUGAAUGGAAGGGCCAUCGCUCAACGGAUAAAAGGUACUCCGGGGAUAACAGGCUGAUACCGCCCAAGAGUUCAUAUCGACGGCGGUGUUUGGCACCUCGAUGUCGGCUCAUCACAUCCUGGGGCUGAAGUAGGUCCCAAGGGUAUGGCUGUUCGCCAUUUAAAGUGGUACGCGAGCUGGGUUUAGAACGUCGUGAGACAGUUCGGUCCCUAUCUGCCGUGGGCGCUGGAGAACUGAGGGGGGCUGCUCCUAGUACGAGAGGACCGGAGUGGACGCAUCACUGGUGUUCGGGUUGUCAUGCCAAUGGCACUGCCCGGUAGCUAAAUGCGGAAGAGAUAAGUGCUGAAAGCAUCUAAGCACGAAACUUGCCCCGAGAUGAGUUCUCCCUGAGACUUAGAGUCUCCUGAAGGAACGUUGAAGACGACGACGUUGAUAGGCCGGGUGUGUAAGCGCAGCGAUGCGUUGAGCUAACCGGUACUAAUGAACCGUGAGGCUUAACCUU
rnacentral:rRNA from 1 species